AUUUUAAAAUAUUUGUCCAAACUGAGCAUUUGAAAACAUGUAUACGUAUUCGCCAGUAGCUGAGUGUGCAGAAAAGUGUGCUACUAUUUGGUAGCUUUUAAGAGGUCCCAGGUUCGCAUUCCGUCAGAAGCAACACAUUAAAAUUAGUCAUUCAAGUUGAAAUAAUUGCUGAAUCUUAAAUUUGUGUUUUGUCAAUGUUAUUUUG